CUGCAGGGAUGAUUUCUGAACUCUCUCUUGCUGAGGUGCUGGUGGAGAAGCUCUUGAAUAUGCUCUGAGCGGC
rnacentral:snoRNA from 1 species